GAAGUCGUUACUCCAACCCUUGUGGAGGAGGACGCCGAAGGUGGGGCUAAUGACUGGGAUGAAGUCGUAACAAGGUAGCCGUACCGGAAGGUGCGGCUGGAUCACCUCCUAACAGGGAGACAACAAAAUGUAAAUAUUAAUUUUGUCACCUUAGGUCGAUCGGUAUCUCAGAUUCUUAAUUUUAAGAAUUUCAGUUUCUAAGUUUUUUCUAGGUCACACCCAUCACUUUUUCCUGGGCCAUUAGCUCAGGUGGUUAGAGCGCACCCCUGAUAAGGGUGAGGUCCCUGGUUCAAGUCCAGGAUGGCCCAUAUCUCUAUGUUGGGGGUAUAGCUCAGUUGGUAGAGCGCCUGCUUUGCAAGCAGGAUGUCAGCGGUUCGAGUCCGCUUACCUCCACUGAAUACCACCUCUUACAUAUAUUUAAAGAGGGAAAUUGUUUUGAGUCGUGUCCUAAUUUGCUCUGAGCGAAUCUAGCUUCCUAUUUUAUUCAAUAAAUAAGAUGCUGGACUCAUUGAAAUUUUUUUUCAUUGUUUUCAGAGAACCUUGACAACUGCAUAGAUUAUUUUUGAAGACAAUAAGCAUCUUUAAUGAUGCAGAUUUAUUAUCUGUGCGAAUGCAUUAAAUAACAAUUCUAUUAAGCUGAUGCUUCAAUUUUUGAAGUUAUUGGUCAAGCUACAAAGGGCU
rnacentral:misc_RNA from 1 species